rnacentral:rRNA from 1 species
UAGAUGCGAGAGUAGAGCAUAUCAAUAAGCGGAGGAAAAGAAACUAACUAGGAUUCCCUCAGUAACGGCGAGUGAAGCGGGAAGAGCUCAAAUUUGAAAUCUUCAAGGUUCUACCUUGACGAAUUGUAGUUUAAAGAAGUGUUUUCUGUUGGAGUUUUGGUAAAAGUUCUUUGGAAUAGGACAUCAUAGAGGGUGAGAAUCCCGUAUUUGACCAUUAUUUCCAACUUUGUGAUACACUUUCAAAGAGUCGGAUUGUUUGGGAAUGCAGUCCAAAAUGGGUGGUAAAUUUCAUCUAAAGCUAAAUACUGGCGAGAGACCGAUAGCGAACAAGUACCGUGAGGGAAAGAUGAAAAGAACUUUGAAAAGAGAGUUAAACAGUACGUGAAAUUGUCAAAAGGGAAGCGUUUGACACCAGUGUUGUUUAGUUGAAAAUCAAUUCAAUAAUUUUUGAUUUUGAGUAGUAUUGACUUCAUCAGCUUGCUGCUUUCUUUUCGGAAAUUAUUGAAUGCACUUUUCAGUUAACAAGUCAACAUCAAUUUCUUUUGUUGUAAAAGGGUAAGAGGAAGGUGGCUUACGCUUCGGCGUAAGUGUUUAUAGCCUUUUACCUCUGCAAUCGGAGAGAUUGAGGACAGCAGCGUAGACUCUUCGGGGUUAGAUACACUUGUGCUAAGCUAUAGCCUUGUAUAGACAACUUGUUGACUAUGCUCAGUCAUGUAGCUUACUCGCUUGUGCUAUUUUACCUACGCUUAGGAUGUUGACACACGCGCGUGCUCG